CACACACACAAAUAAUAAUAAUAAUAAUAGCGUCAUUGACCAUUGGAUGUUAUUUUGUAGAUUUCACAACUUUAAUUGUUACAUGCAUAAAUAGAUUGCUCAUUGAUCCUCCGAAAGUGUCUACUCCAGAUAGUAGAAUGAAUUUUUUAUGCUAUGUUAACAAUGGAGUAUACUUGGUAAUUGUUUUUAAAAAGAUAGAACAAUUUGUAGUUAUUACAUAUGUAGAGAAUAGAUCUUCAUCCAUCAAAAUCAUACCUAAGCUUGUGUUGAUAAAUUAAGUGUAAGCCAUUCUUGUGCCUUGAAAGGGAAUAAAAUAUAGUUGUAAAUUGAUCAAUUACCUAAGACGUUUAGGUAUGAAAUAAUUGCCAAACUUGAUGAUACAGGUGGAAAGUGGCGGGACUUCGUUGAUGUCAAGUUGGGUGUCACCUGAAGCGCUUGCGGGUGGCUUGGCCACGUGUUGACUUGCACGCCGCACUGUCCUCAUACCGGCUGUCUUUGAUUCUCUUGGAUAGCGUGUUGGAGUCACAGUUUUAGCAACCAUUAAAUUGAGAUAGGAAGAAGAUGAACAAAGCUUAGAACUGUGAGUCAAAGAUGAGUCAGAGCUUGAGCAGCACGGACAUGCCACCUCGUACUCGUCAGCUAUGGUGACAUGUUCGUGGAUGUGUCUCAGACCGAAGUCAUUGCCGCUGGUCCGUGGUUCCAUGCAUCCUUGUUUGGAUUGGAGGCAACAGAGCGUGGGUUGGAGUCAACGGCCCUUGGAGAUGUGCAAUAGCAAGGCAAAGAAGCGGACGAAGGACAAAGCAGCGGUCUCUGCGUCCUAGUGGCUGCAUCCUGCUCGUCAAUAUCUCACCGUAGUCACUGCCGCCAUGUCAUCCCAUGUAGAUUUGGACCUGACCUCCUCUCAUUCUCCUAGGACGCUUGAGCGCUUCAGCCGGCGCUUCACUGAUGACGACGAAGGCAGGAUCAGAAGGGGCACGUUGCAGCCCCAAAGAAUUGGAAACCCUAGCAGCCGAGUUUCUCCUUAACGUGUGUGGUAAGGAACGUGAAGCCUGCUUAAGAUUUGAAGAGGAGCACGUGAGCGAAGAGGUCAACUUUUUGAUAUUUUAUUAUCCAAUGGCUUUAGAUGAAAAAUUGAGCUAUGUUAACAAUGGAGUAUACUUGGUAAUUGUUUUUAAAAAGAUAGAACAAUUUCUAGUUAUUACAUAUGUAGAGAAUAGAUCUUCAUCCAUCAAAAUCAUACCUAAGCUUGUGUUGAUAAAUUAAGUGUAAGCCAUUCUUGUGCCUUGAAAGGGAAUAAAAUAUAGUUGUAAAUUGAUCAAUUACCUAAGACGUUUAGGUAUGAAAUAAUUGCCAAACUUGAUGAUACAGGUGGAAAGUGGCGGGACUUCGUUGAUGUCAAGUUGGGUGUCACCUGAAGCGCUUGCGGGUGGCUUGGCCACGUGUUGACUUGCACGCCGCACUGUCCUCAUACCGGUUGUCUUAGAUUCUCUUGGAUAGCGUGUUGGAGUCACAGUUUUAGCAACCAUUAAAUUGAGAUAGGAAGAAGAUGAACAAACCUUGGAACUGUGAGUCAAAGAUGAGUCAGAGCUUGAGCAUCACGGACAUGCCACCUCGUACUCGUCGGCUAUGGUGGCAUGUUGGUGGAUGUGUCUCGGACCGAAGUCAUUGCCGCUGGUCCCUGGUUCCAUGCAUCCUUGUUUGGAUUGGAGGCAACAUAGCGUGGGUUGGAGUCAACGGCCCUUGGAGAUGUGCAAUAGCAAG
rnacentral:lncRNA from 1 species